GACUAGGUGACGGAAAUGGCAAACGUCCGGGAGUUGCAUUCCCUGGGUCCGUAGCUAACUCUACGGUUGCGGGUUCGAAUCCCGUCCUAGUCUCCA
rnacentral:tRNA from 1 species